rnacentral:lncRNA from 1 species
AGUCAUCAGAGCCCAGAUCAAAGUGAAAGAGGAAAAAAGCACAGAUGCUGCUCGGUUGUGAAGGAGGAGGUGGGGCACACAGGGAGCAGUUUGGGCCCGGAUCAGUGAACCUCGGCUGCAGCACACCACAGCACAACAAGAAGCCACUUACAAAAAGCCCAAAGACAAAACAACCAUGACGUGAAACUCUUUGACAUAUAAGUUCUCGUAACCAUUUCCUUUGGAGGGAAAAGUCUGAAGUUCACCCUCUACAUUCUGGAGUAAGUGUAAGCUGUGAGAGGAUAAAAAACUAUUUACUGAGAAAAGGCAAAAAACUGAACUGCUUCAGUAAACUGAUAGCCCUUCGAAAGCUUCUUUAAUUUCUCUUCACAAUGGAUAUAGUGUUCUUCAGAUCCGUUUUGCUUAUGCGUGCCUCGUACCAGCAUCCACCCACUAUGUGUAAGAAAGCAAGCUAGUGGUAUGUGAAUAGAGAUGUAUUCAGAGGUACAAAGGCUAACGGUUCGGAUUUCCCUUAAUACUUAUCACUAACAAUUUUUGCUAGCUAAAUUUUUGCUGUCUAAUAAUUUCAGUACGUCAUGAUGUCUCAUAGCUUCUUGAGAAGAACUUUUGAGAGCCAAAAUCUAACUCCAGUGCACGCUGGACUUGGCCUUUUACAUGUACAGCAGUCCUUGCUCACUGAGACAUUGCAGAGGUAUGGACUUUCACUUUUACUUUCACUCCAUGUAAGACCUCCCAUCUAAUCUACCCUCAUCCUUUGUUCCUGCUGCUCCAGGACCAACGGCUGAUAGAACCUGCAGCUGUGCCUUUUGCUCGCAUGUCCCUGGGUGGGACCUGACCAAGGACACCACUCAUGGCCACUGCCUGCACUCAGCCUGUGUCUCACUCAGAGACACAGCCCAUCUCUGACAGGAAUUCUGACUUGGUUUAAAGCCUCACUAACACAAAAACCUUUUCCUCCUGCUGAUAAGCUGCUAACCAUCCAAAGCAUGGAGCUUUUUUUGCCCUGUUUCUUGCUGUGUUUUGUUGGCUGGGAACUCCAUCCUGCUUUUUAUCCCUCAAUUAGCAGAUACAGGCUGUGAUCAAGAUGCCUCUUGAUUUUCUUUUGAAUAAACUGUCCAAUUUUUUUUUCUCUGCAGUCUUCUUAUGUAGUAGACAAGGGCUGUACCUGGUGAGCAUCCAGCAGCGCAGGAGGCUGCAAGGUCCUGGAUGUGGUGCAGAGAAUUGGCUUCCUCGUGACAGAACAAGAAGUAACAAUUCCAAACUAAAAGGGGAGAUUCAGAUUAGAUAUUAGGAAAAUAUUUCCUAGGAGGGUGGUGAGGCGUUGGCACAGCUGCCCAG